UACGUAGGGCGCAAGCGUUAUCCGGAAUUAUUGGGCGUAAAGAGCUCGUAGGUGGUUUGUCGCGUUGUCCGUGAAAACUCACAACUCAAUUGUGGGCGUGCGGGCGAUACGGGCAGACUGGAGUACUGCAGGGGAGACUGGAAUUCCUGGUGUAGCGGUGGAAUGCGCAGAUAUCAGGAGGAACACCGGUGGCGAAGGCGGGUCUCUGGGCAGUAACUGACGCUGAGGAGCGAAAAGCGUGGGGAGCGAACAGG
rnacentral:rRNA from 1 species